UACGAAGGGUGCAAGCGUUACUCGGAAUUACUGGGCGUAAAGCGUGCGUAGGUGGGUUUGUUAAGUCUGUUGUGAAAGCCCCGGGCUCAACCUGGGAAUGGCAAUGGAUACUGGGCAGGCUAGAGUGCGGUAGAGGGUAGUGGAAUUCCCGGUGUAGCGGUGAAAUGCGUAGAGAUCGGGAGGAACACCAGUGGCGAAGGCGGCUACCUGGACCAGCACUGACACUGAGGCACGAAAGCGUGGGGAGCAAACAGG
rnacentral:rRNA from 1 species